GGCCCCGCACUCCUGCAGCCCUUCCCGCACAUAAACAAGUGUCAAAGACCUGUCUGCUCGCUGUGCCCUGCGAGAGCGCUGCCCUGCACCGAGCAUCCCCCUCCUCCUUCACUUCCCCUGCCAUCCCUCUGGCAGCGGGUUUUGUCUUUUUUUAAAAACCCAGGUGCCAAACCUGUGUGAAAUUACUGAUAUUCACUGAAAUCUGGCUGAGAAGCACUCAGUACGGGAGGUCACGGUCAGUUUUGUGGCACCAUCACCCAACAGCCGCUGCCUCACCUGCAGGUGGCUGGGGCUGCUCACCGACACAGAAGGGCUGUUAAAGGCGCGUUGAGCUUAAGCUUCAUUUACUCAAGGGUAGAAUUAAUUUGUUUGAACUAUUUAUUUCAGAUAAAAUAAUCCCUUUAAAGGCUGCUGCUACUCUGUCAUUUUAGGCAUGUCCAUGUCCACCUGCCUUGACUUUGCUUUGGUCUGUGUGGAACUGCAGAAUGUUACAAAAUGGCAUUUGCAAAAAGAACAAGUAAACACAGGCUUAAUGAUCUCACUUAUUUUGCUUCCUUUACUUAUGACUCAUAAAAUGAAAAUCCUUUACUGUUGUAGCACAAAUAAAUUGCCAAGUUGGUUGCCUCUCGACUGUACUGCAAGUAGGGAACAAGAAGGGCUGAGAGUGAGGGAUCAGGAAAAGGUGAGGAUGUGCUCAGCUCUGAUUAAGUAACAUUAUCCUGCUUCUUUUGCUUUUGAAGGGUGGAAAAGCAAUAGGUGAUGUCUAAUGCUCCCGGGCAGCAAACAAUGGGUGGGGAACGCUGAGCUGGGUGCAGCACUUGGCAAUCUUUGGGGUGCAGUGAUGAGGUGCCAGUGCUUGAUGGUAUGGAUAGAAGGGAACACGCCUCAGCCUUGUGACAUGUGGGGUUAAUGGGGCAGAGCCACACCAUGUCCCUCUGAGGGGACCUGGGUGGCACUGCCACACCAGUGCCACAUCCCAGCUCUGGGCAGGAGAGGUUCCCUUCCUGGGCCAUCCAAUCCCUCAGCUGUUACAGCUCCUCAUAACCCACAUUUUGUGAACAACCACAACUCCCACAGUGAUGUCCAUUUCAGCCCAUUCCACACAGAAGCGGAAAAAUUUCUUCCUGAGAAGGAAUUAAUGCAAGAGAAGUGGAGAUCAGUAAAUGACUACAAUAAAAAUACCCUUCAGCUUU